UACGUAGGUGGCAAGCGUUGUCCGGAAUGAUUGGGCGUAAAGGGCGCGCAGGCGGCUGUGUAAGUCUGUCUAAAAAGUGCGGGGCUAAACCCCGUGAGAGGAUGGAAACUGGACAGCUGAGAGUGUCGGAGAGGAAAGCGGAAUUCCUAGUGUAGCGGUGAAAUGCGUAGAUAUUAGGAGGAACACCGGUGGCGAAAGCGGCUUUCUGGACGACAACUGACGCUGAGGCGCGAAAGCCAGGGGAGCAAACGGG
rnacentral:rRNA from 1 species